UACGGAGGGAGCUAGCGUUGUUCGGAAUUACUGGGCGUAAAGCGCACGUAGGCGGUUACUCAAGUCAGAGGUGAAAGCCCGGGGCUCAACCCCGGAACUGCCUUUGAAACUAGGUAACUAGAAUCCUGGAGAGGUGAGUGGAAUUCCGAGUGUAGAGGUGAAAUUCGUAGAUAUUCGGAAGAACACCAGUGGCGAAGGCGGCUCACUGGACAGGUAUUGACGCUGAGGUGCGAAAGCGUGGGUAGCAAACAGG
rnacentral:misc_RNA from 1 species